rnacentral:tRNA from 1 species
GAGGUAAUAGCUCAGUGGUAGAGCAUGUGCUUAGCAUGCACGUGGUCCUGGCUUCAAUCCCCAGUACCUCC